AUUGGCCCUUAUUGGAGCCAUGCCCAUUCUCCUGUAGUGGGCCUGUUCAAAGAGGAGCCAAAAGUGCCACUUUUCCCAACGGUGGCUGCUCAGUUUCUAUGGUAACUGACAGCGACUUUAAGGGAAAGGACACGC